ensembl:lncRNA
CUGAACCAGAGUUUGCCAAGCCCUGGAUCAGCAUCUGCAGCAGGCGGGCUCCUGGAUGAUUCAGCGUAGCCAGAAACGGGACCAGGCUCGGUGCCCUCGUCUCUGCCACAGGCAAUAUUGUCAUUUCCUAAUUCACUGGGCUGAUGGUUGUGAGGAAGAAAUGAAGUCAUGUGUGAAGGAGUGUUUUAUAGACAUUAAUUUAACCAAGAUAGUGUGCCAGAAUUUCCAAAACAUACCAUAUUCUAAAGAUUCUUGGUUUGUACAUUUUUUCAGCUUUAUUGAGAUAUAGUAGACAUGAAACAUUGUGUAAGUUUGUGUAACAUUGUAUAGACAGAGUGUAUGAUGUGUUGAUUUGACACAUUUCUAUACUGCAAAAUGAUUCCCAUCUUAGCAUCCAGCUCCAUCCCAUCACGAUUACUUUUUUUUUUGUGAUAAGAACAUUUAAGAAUUACUCUGUUAGGAACAUUCAAGUAUACAAUACAGUAUCAUUAGCUAUAAUCACCAUGCUGUCCACUAGAUCCCCAGAACUUGUUAAUCUUAUACGUUAUUUCAGCAGAUGAAGACGGUUCUGUUUUCGAGGAUUGCAUAUGUAAAACAUUAUUGUGUAGAAGAGAUUUGACAUUUAAUUUAUCUAAUUUAUUUUUCAAAUUACUAUUGAUUGGGUUCCCUGUUCUCGUGGACAAUUUAGAAAACACAGCCACAAAUAAAAUCCUCUUUCUUUCAAUCCCACCAUUCUUGCAAAUACUGUGUAAUCAGGUGCGGGACACCUGCCCGCGCCUGUGAGCGUCUGAUCGUCUUUCCCAGUGAAUUCGGUCUCACCUCCUGCUGAGCACGCCGGUUCAACACUGGAGGAUUAGAUUUCUGUCCUCGACCGGGUCCCGCUCACCUCGGGAGAAGCAGGAUAAAUGAUCAGCCUCGGGCGGGUGUGCAGCUGUGGACCAGAGCGCAGCCCGGUGACCCGAGCGCGCGGGGCCCUCGCUGGGCGCCCCCUCCCUCUCCCCGCGCCGCCUCCAGCGCGAGUGACAACGCGCCCUCCGGGCUCGGGAGCGGCGGCGUCGGACGACCCUGGGCAGGGCUCGCCUCUAGGGGGCAUCAGUCCUAGAGCUGAUUCCACGCUCCCAGCUCCUGGUUUUGUGAGACGUCGGUCGGUUAGUCCGUUUGUCUGUCCGCCCUGGAGAGGACUCAUCGCCGGCCUGGGACAGAACCGAGCACCAAAAAGUGACCGAAUCCAGAGGAGGCAAGAGAUUGAGGCAGCGAGGGAAGGAGGCCCCGGCAGGCGACAGCAUGCAGUUCAGCCCGGCGCUGUACCUGCCGCCUCUGCUGCCGGCGCUGGUCCUCAGCACCAGAUUCUCCCUUUUAGUGUUCUAAAGUUUGCUAUUGAGUUUGGAAAGGUCUCAACUUAGGAAAAAGAUGGCAGAUGAAAGAAAGCAAGACCACAUAUGAAAGGUGAAGAUAAUGAGCAUCUGGGAAAGGUGAGGCUGAGGAGGUGAUGGAAUUGCUCUGAUCCAGGAAAUGAGUGAGUGCCAAAGACACAUGUCAUCUAUUUCAUGAUUGUGUUAACUAUUGGUUUUGCUUUUAUGUGAGUAACAGAAUCUGGAUAUAUAUAUAUAUAUAUAUUGUAGGGAAGGAAGACAUUUCACUCUGAAGAAGGACCACUCUAGGUCCUUCUUCAGGCCAGGCUGCAAAUUAAAUUCACACGGGACAGAAUAACAGGAGAAAAUCAAACAAAGAUUUAUAGCAUGUAUACAUGGGAGAGACCCAGAAAAACUGAGUAACUCCCCAAAAUGGUGGAGGGUCUCAUCUUAAAUACCUUCCUCAGCCUAAAGGCAAAGGAGGAUCUUGGGGGUGGGGGGAGUCAGUUAUGGGAGAUUACUAGCAAAGUACAGUAAACAAGAGUAAGGUUAUUAUGCAGAUUUAAGUCCUUUCCUGCCCCAUUGAUUAAGAGUUUCUAGAGAUAAGGUCAUCCCCCCCUUCCUGGUACAGAGAGGGAGACACCUUUACAGAUGGACAUUUUAUUUACAAAUGUAAAUGUCUCUUAACAAACGGUAAGUAAAUUCUACUUUUCAAAGUGUCUCCCAUGUCUAGAGUUUUUAAAAGUAACCAGCCCAAAAUAAUCCUCAUGCCAAAGAAACCUAUCUUGGGGUGGCCAAUUCCAGUCCCCCACAAUAUAUAUGCACAUAUAUGUACAUAUAUUUUUUCUGAAUAUAUAGAAUUCAGAAUACAUAUAGUAGUUCUGAAUGCAUGGCCCUCAAAUUUUGGUCUUCCUAACAUCAUGUUUAAUAACACUCGGGUUCCUUAUGAGCACAUUGUCACGCAGAUACUAUCUGUAUUCAAUAAUUCAACUAUAUUCAAUAAAUGCUGGAACAAAUGGACAAAAACUAAAACUUCCAUGUAGUAGAUAAAUUUUAGUUGAUUAAUAUUGAGAUUGUUUUAAUGGAUUAAUUAUAAAUCUGUUAUAAUAAAAAAAUAGAAAACUGAGGUUGCUUGGUUUGUUCAUUUAAAGCACUUCUGUUCCUCUGCCUUUGGUCACUUUAGAGUCAACAGAAAACUGAAACUAUAUUCAGGAAAAAUAAAGACCUUGGAUUGUGGCACCAGGCUUUGAUAUUUUCCUUAAAGUCAGGAGGAGAAAACCUAGAACAGUGGUUCAGUCUGGCUGACUUUAGAAUCGCCUGGAAAGCUUUAAAGGUAAAUUCACUUUCCCAGGCAUCACCUCUGACUGAAUAAAUAUAAAUUUCAUUUGUAGAGCUCAGUAAUAUAUAUGUCUUAAGAUUAACGUCACUUGGUGAUCAUUAUGCUAAGUCAGUUUGGGGAGCUAAUAUUUUGGAGAUCAUUUCAUCUCAAUUGACGUGCACACUCUGUCUCAUAAACUAUUCAUAAACUAUGCAUAAAUACACAUUCAAAUAUACACAUAUUAUUACAAUGACAAAUGUCAUAUAAUAAGAUUUGGUCUUAGUGAGUCAUACAGCAGGGUGCAACUACUACGAGGAAGUAAAAGGCAUAGCAUCCUGUUAAGCUUGCAUCGAACUGCAACAUAUGUUUCCUGGAAUGUGAAAAACUAUUGUUUUACCAGUAUAUGAGAGUGUGAUAUGGAGAGCAAAGAAUUCUACAUAGAUACAAGCCAAAGGUCAACCAAGUAAAUAAUGUACUCAUUAUGAAUGCUUUCAGAGACAUUGGAAGAUGUCAUUCUACUAAGCAUCUGGCCGCAGGACAUCUGGCUUCUUACCGGCUAAAUUCAGCCUGUCAUGCAAUGGUGUGGUCGCUGAGGAAGUGGGCAAUGGACCUGUGGGAAAGGUGUGAUAUGCACCUCCUCUUCCCAGAAAAGGCUGCACAUACUUGACUCGAAGGAGUGGCCGAAGAGAAGGCUCUCAUCACAUCCUGGACCUCAGGAGAGCAGAUACAAAACCUAUGCGCUAUAUACUACAUCAUAGUUAAUGUAAAACUACACCAUAUAGAAUUUAUAUUACAUUCUGUAUGCUAUACUUAACAUGUAUACUAUACGUAUAAUCAGUAUAUCUAUAUAUAUCUGUAUAGAGGGGCGCAGAGUAAAC